CAGCAGGGAGAUGACACGGCAGAGCAUCCCCAGAAAACCCAGAAAUUGUUGAUGAUUUCCGUUUCAAGCAUCCACCUGCGAGAGAGUACCCUCGUAGGAGUGGGACAUUGCAGGCAGAAGCAGCCAGCAGGAGAAGUGUACUGGAAACCACGAGAAAACUACAACAGGCUCCAUCAGUGCCAAGCUGAAGGCAGCGAACUUACGAACUUAGUCAUGCGUCUCAUGGCCUGUGGACCAAGCCACCCUAGCUUUGGCUUUGUUCAAGCCUCCUACAAGCCACAGUUCACGACUUCACGUGGCUUGGGUACCCGUUGUAUCUAGAGCUGCCCCCUCUCGGUGCAAUAAAGCCUGGAACUAGUGCUGCCACUACCAGAGCUUCAGAAAUAGAGAAUUCCAGUGGUGCCACGGGCAAGCUUAAACGCACUUCUUCAUCUCAAUCACCAGGAUAGCAUACGACCCGUUGCAAACACGCUCGUCAAAAGGGGAUUCGGUUAACUUGUCCAGAAGCAUGAGGAUAAGGAUGAACGAUACGUUUUCAGGAAAGAUGCUCUCUUCUUUUCUUUUUUGAGGGGAAAAGAUGCCCUCUUCGAGUGUAGUCUUGUUCGACGCCGAAGAAGAGAAAGUGAUCAAUAUCGACUAAAGGCUUGCUUCAGGAGCUCCUGUCUUCAUCCACUAAUUAGAAACUCGGCUGUUUCGGUGCCAAUGCAAUGAGUUGGGGGCACGGUCCGUUUUGGUUUCACUGUCAACUUUUUUGUUUCCGACCUUUCCUUUUUGGGUGUGCGGUCCCUUUUUCUUUUUGUUUCGCUGUCAAUAAGUGUGCAAGAAAUAACCUUAAGUCCUUGGGGUCGGUUUAGUAGCUAUGACUCUGCUGUUGGCAGUUGUUAGAAAAUGUAUGUGUAUCAGUAAUUUCUUGUCCUUGUACUCCCUCCGUCCGGAAAUACUUGUCCUAAAAAUGGAUAAAAUGGACAUAUCUAUAACUAAAAUAAGUCUAGAUACAACCAUUUCUAGGACAAGUAUUUACGGACAGAGGGAGUAUGUCAUUUCGGUUGUACUAAAUCGGCGACAUUGAUAUGGAUA